GAUGAACGCUAGCGGCAGGCCUAAUACAUGCAAGUCGAGGGGUAGAAGAGGCUUGCUUCUUUGAGACCGGCGCACGGGUGCGUAACGCGCAUGCAACCUACCUUCAUCUGGGGGAUAGCCCGGAGAAAUCCGGAUUAAUACCGCAUAAAAUCACAGGAUGGCAUUAUCCAAUGAUCAAACAUUUAUGGGAUGGAGAUGGGCAUGCGUGUCAUUAGCUAGUUGGCGGGGUAACGGCCCACCAAGGCGACGAUGACUAGGGGAUCUGAGAGGAUGGCCCCCCACACUGGUACUGAGACACGGACCAGACUCCUACGGGAGGCAGCAGUAAGGAAGAUUGGUCAAUGGAGGCAACUCUGAACCAGCCAUGCCGCGUGCAGGAAGACUGCCCUAUGGGUUGUAAACUGCUUUUAUUCGGGAAUAAACCUUAUUACGUGUAAUAAGCUGAAUGUACCGAAGGAAUAAGGAUCGGCUAACUCCGUGCCAGCCGCCGCAGUAA
rnacentral:rRNA from 1 species